CGCAGCGCUGUAGCUGUAGCACAGUGGACGUGGAGAAAGAGGACUUCACGGGUUACGGUGUGCGCAAUAACCAACAGUGAAGACUUUGCGCAUAGUUUCGUUUUGGUAUCCCCUCGGUUACCACUAGUCGAAGUCGAACUAACCUGUAGUGGUUGAUCCGUGAACUGUGUCAUCGCGGUACUGUUGCUGAACAGUCAUGAAGCUCGUGGUUGCAGCUGCUGCGGUUAAAGCCGGCCUGACAGUACUGGCUGCACCACUUGCCCUAGGAGCUCUAGGAUUCUCCGCAGCAGGAGUAGGAGCAGAUUCCGUUGCGGCUGCAUGGCAAAGCUCCAUCGGAGUAGUGGCUAAAGCAAGCGUGGUUUCGCUCCUUCAGAGCUGUGGAGUAGUGGGUACAGCAAUGAAAGCAGCAGGCUUCGGCUCAAGGGAAAAGGAAACCGAUGAAAGUGAAGAGAGCGAGGAAAAGUGCGAGGAAGAGUGCGAGGAAAAGUGCAAAAAAGCGGUUUAAAGCAUGUGUGGUCUGUAGCCUUUGUUUUUUUUUUUUUUUUUAUGAUGGACUGACCUGUAACCACAUAAGUCACAGGUCGCUGUCCGAACGCUACUGUGUACUGCAGUAAAGGCAGAUAAAUCUUGAGUAGACAAGAUGGGAGGUCAAACAGAAACCUUCUAUUUUUUUUUUUUUUCAUAUUGAUUUGCAUAAGUGGUGG